UCCUUCCUGGGCCGGUACGGUCUCCACCCUAGCGCUGGGGUAAGGUGACGCCCGUCAGGCGGAUGAAUCCGGUGAGAUCCCGGAGCUGUCGCGCAACCGUGAUCCCGCGAGCCUCGCGGGGAGUCGGACCGCCGUCUGGCGUCAGGUUGA
rnacentral:ncRNA from 1 species